rnacentral:misc_RNA from 1 species
GAAGGACUGAGAAAGCUACAUUGUCGUUCUCUGAUAUUUGUCGGGGAGAACUCUCCAUUUCACUCUGAGGCUUUGCACAUGACAUCAAAACUAGAUAGAAGAUACAGUGCCUUAGUUGAGGUUCAGGCAUGUGGAUCCAUGGUGACAGAGGAGCAGCCCCAUGCCAUGUUAAUACCAAUGGAGUACUUUCUAAUGGGAUACGGUAUGUAUAGACCACCUAAAUUAAGUGUCAGCCCAAGAAGCCCUUUGAGUCCAUUGUGCAUUUCCCCUGAGCUCCUUUCACCGGAAAGCAUGGGCUUGAAGUUGAAGCCAAUAAAAACUCGAACACAUGUGGAGGUCUGAAAGAAUAUGGAUGGAUGGCAAGAAUACUUUUUGUUAUCUAUUUAUUGUAUUUUCUUUGAUAGCUUGGGGAAGAUAAAUGUGGGAGGAUUUGUAGAAGAUUGUAGAUAAAGAUUAGAAGAGGAAAAAAAAAAAAUUAAAGGGGAAAUAUAUUAGAAAGAAAGCUGAGGUUUCCAUUCUUUGAUUUGUAAUCACAUGUGUUAGUUGAG